AUCAGUGAUGAGUUCCUACCGCCCCAGUCUGAUCAUUGUGACUGAAUGGUAAUUCUGAGCAGUC